UUCCCUACGGGGGGCAGCAGUGAGGAAUAUUGGUCAAUGGGCGAGAGCCUGAACCAGCCAAGUCGCGUGAAGGAUGACGGCCCUACGGGUUGUAAACUUCUUUUGUCAGGGAGCAAUUGGGUCCACGCGUGGGCUUAGCGAGAGUACCUGAAGAAAAAGCAUCGGCUAACUCCGUGCCAGCAGCCGCGGUAAUACGUAGGGUGCGAGCGUUUAUCGGAAUUACUGGGCGUAAAGGGUGUGCAGGCGGUUUUUCAAGAUGGAU
rnacentral:rRNA from 1 species